AUUGAACGCUGGCGGCAGGCCUAACACAUGCAAGUCGAACGGAUCCUUCGGGAUUAGUGGCGGACGGGUGAGUAACACGUGGGAACGUGCCCUUUGGUUCGGAACAACUCAGGGAAACUUGAGCUAAUACCGGAUGUGCCCUUCGGGGGAAAGAUUUAUCGCCAUUGGAGCGGCCCGCGUCUGAUUAGCUAGUUGGUGAGGUAAAGGCUCACCAAGGCGACGAUCAGUAGCUGGUCUGAGAGGAUGAUUGGCCACAUUGGGACUGAGACACGGCCCAAACCCCUACGGGAGGCAGCAGUGGGGAAUCUUGCGCAAUGGGCGAAAGCCUGACGCAGCCAUGCCGCGUGAAUGAUGAAGGUCUUAGGAUUGUAAAAUUCUUUCACCGGGGACGAUAAUGACGGUACCCGGAGAAGAAGCCCCGGCUAACUUCGUGCCAGCAGCCGCAGUAA
rnacentral:rRNA from 1 species